CUUAGACCUCAUUUAAAGUCUGACUGCCACAAGGAACAAAUCUCUGGUUGGAGAUCCCUCACUUGUGGAGUUUUCUGUGUGAGCCUAGAUAUUCAACUUUAGGUACUUUGGGAGGGCUGUAUGAAAUGGGGCCUGAAGGCCACUGGUAGUCAGUGGUGAAAGUAUGGCUUGCAUCCUUCUGCAGUGAGUCUUCUAGCUGCUGCAAGAGAUGGGCACGACAUGUCUCCAUGAAGGGGAACAACACAAGCUCCCAUUUCAUUUCACCUUCUUCAGGAAGCUUCUAGCCCUCCUUGUUCAACUCUACUUGGCCAACGGCAAGCACUGCAUUAAUGCUUUCAACAACUGAGGCAAACAGGAACUUUGUGGUGUUCUGAAACUACCAGAGACGUUCAUUCUAAUUCACUUCUGUUUAUUCAAGUCCACUGCAAGAGCAACUAACAAAAUUAUGUCAUGUGUCCGCUCAGUUGCCUAACAGAAUUCAGAAGGAAACUUUUUUUCAUGCUGUCCCUCCCAGUUUGUGUUUACCCGUGUUAUUCCUACAGCAGAACUAUGCCAAUGAGAUUGGUGAAUGUAUUGACAUUAUCUAGCUGUUUUUUAUCUGUGAAGUGUAACAUCGGUGCAUCUUACUGUUAUUAAUCAAUUUUAAAUCAAAGAAUGUACAAACAGGCUUCACUGCUGCAUUUCCCAACUUUUGAGUGAUAUAUUACGCAACUUGCUUGUCACACAAAAAAUGGAAGGCUUGAGGGGAAGAAAUUAAAAUAAUUAUAAAUUGGA